GUCCUUACCUGACAGGUGACAUACCACAGUGUGUAGGUGGUUUUCCCAAGGCGAGGCUUAUCCAUUCAUUACACUCCGGACGUGCCGACCCCUGUGAUUUCAAGUGUCAGAAACUGAACUGCAUAACUUCUGAUAGUGUGGAACUGUGUUCAUGCUUUCUCU
rnacentral:snRNA from 1 species